rnacentral:ncRNA from 1 species
GGAAUGUAGAUUUUCUUAAUGACCUGUCCGUUUCAGCAAUUUCCAAACACGAUGUUUGGGAAAGGCGUAUCGGAGCCAGGGAUGGCGACUAUACGCCGGUUGCGUCAUUCUUUAAAUUUUGUGAAUCAGGGCAUUUAGAAAAUCUUAUUCCCGGA